AUUUAUCAUUAUCAUCAUCAUUACUAUGGGUUACCUCAGGUCAGAGAAGACUACCCGCUGGACUUAAGCAUAUCAAUAAGCGGAGGA
rnacentral:rRNA from 1 species